GAUGAAGAACGUAGUGAAAUGCGAUAAGUAAUGUGAAUUGCAGAAUUCAGUGAAUCAUCGAAUCUUUGAACGCACAUUGCGCCCCCUGGAAUUCCGGGGGGCAUGCCUGUUCGAGCGUCUCAGGGACGAACCCUCGCGCGGGUGUACGCGCGGUCGUGGCUGCGGUGGCGUGCCCGAGGCGGCGGCCACCGCGCUGGAAUCCAUGGGCGGACGCCUGCCGCGUGGCCGAGCGUGAUAUGACGCAUUGGCGCUCGCACGCGGCGAGGCUGCCAGCCCUGGCCCGUCUGUCGGGCGGGGGAGAGCAAGACACGUGAACUCCUCGAAUCAGGUAGGGAUACCCGCUGAACUUAAGCAUAUAAUAAGCGGAGGA
rnacentral:misc_RNA from 1 species